GAUGAACGCUGGCGGCGUGCCUAAUACAUGCAAGUCGAGCGAACGGACGAGAGGCUUGCUUCUCUGAUGUUAGCGGCGGACGGGUGAGUAACACGUGGAUAACCUACCUAUAAGACUGGGAUAACUUCGGGAAACCGGAGCUAAUACCGGAUGAUAUUUUGAACCGCAUGGUUCAAAAGUGAAAGACGGUCUUGCUGUCACUUAUAGAUGGAUCCGCGCUGCAUUAGCUAGUUGGUAAGGUAACGGCUUACCAAGGCAACGAUGCAUAGCCGACCUGAGAGGGUGAUCGGCCACACUGGAACUGAGACACGGUCCAGACUCCUAAGGGAGGCAGCAGUAGGGAAUCUUCCGCAAUGGGCGAAAGCCUGACGGAGCAACGCCGCGUGAGUGAUGAAGGUCUUCGGAUCGUAAAACUCUGUUAUUAGGGGAGAACAUAUGUGUAAGUAACUGUGCACAUCUUGACGGUACCUAAUCAGAAAGCCACGGCUAACUACGUG
rnacentral:rRNA from 1 species